rnacentral:tRNA from 1 species
GCCGCUAUAGCUCAGUAGGUAGAGCGCAUCCUUGGUAAGGAUGAGGUCACCGGUUCAAAUCCGGUUAGCGGCU